rnacentral:rRNA from 1 species
CCUACGGGUGGCAGCAGUGAGGAAUAUUGGUCAAUGGGCGCGAGCCUGAACCAGCCAAGUAGCGUGAAGGAUGACUGCCCUACGGGCUGUAAACUUCUUUUAUAAAGGAAUACAGUGAGGCACGUGUGCCUUUUUGUAUGGACUUUAUGAAUAAGGAUCGGCUAACUCCGUGCCAGCAGCCGCGGUAAUACGGAGGAUGCGAGCGUUACCCGGAUUUAUUGGGUUUAAAGGGAGCGUAGAUGGGUUGUUAAGUCAGUUGUGAAAGUUUGCGGCUCAACCGGAAAAUUGCAAUUGAUACUGGCAAUCUUGAGUACAGUUGAGGUAGGCGGAAUUCGUGGUGUAGCGGUGAAAUGCUUAGAUAUCACGAAGAACACCGAUUGCGAAGGCAGCUUACUAAACUGCCACUGACAUUGAUGCGCGAAAGUGUGGGUAUCAAACAGGAUUAGAUACCCGAGUAGUC